rnacentral:ncRNA from 2 species
GCCGUUGGUGGCGAUGGGGCUCGCCCUCAACUGCCGGACACCUCCGGCUGACGGUCCCUGCGAACGA